rnacentral:lncRNA from 1 species
GGAUUUGCUGAAGGAGUCACGUCGGUCGUUAAGGUUAAGCUUUGUAGAGAACAGCGGCGUUUGUUUAACGUCCGGGGAUGCUGAACUCGAAAUCCCCGUUCUGAGCCGGCUACCUAAACAACCUUCCCGACCACCUCUCCUGACCUCGGUGCUUGGGACCAGGGAAAAGCAGAUCUUGCCACAGACUUGUCUUGGCCCACACUCUGCCCUAUCGUCAUGGCCUGCUCCCACAGGUCAUAACUUCCGUUCAAAUCAGUACCCCCACAUUUCCCACUGCAAGGGUAAAUUUGAAAGUUUCUCAGGUGACUCCUUGGAUGUAGCAGUACUGAGUCCUCUAACCGGAAAGAAGGAACUGAUGUCCACCCUCACUUUCCAGGGGCCUCCAGGAGCCCCUAGACACUUCUGUGGUCUACUGUAGCUACCAAAAAUGUAGCUGGUUAUAACAUGGGGAGAGCCAGAGUCGGAGGACCUGACUUCCAAUUCUGACUUGGAUACUAAUAUCACAUCAUUGUACCCAUUUCAAACUCCCCCUCUGUAAAAUGGAAAAUUGGACUAGAUGAUCUCUUAGGACUUCAAACUGUAACCCUGUGGUUUUAUUCAAAAAAAACAGGUAGCUUCUUGCUGGAGAUUCCUGGAUGGAUUCCAGUCUUCCCAAGAGGUAACAAAGGAGAGGUAACCAGUUGCCCGUGCAGUAGCUCAAGAAUACAGAAGAGAAACUGGCUUCACUCACUAUUCCAUCUUUUUCCAAGGUGGCAAACUCUAUGCCUCCUCCCCAGAGAAAAGCCUAACUGUAGGUUCUAAUGGACAAGAGCUCACUGUAGCUGGUCAGAAAGGCCUAUAUCCAGGACUACAAUAGUCAUUGCUCAGCUUCCUAAGUAGGGAAUACAACUAGGCCCCUUUGGGUCUUGGAUAGGCUAAGAGGACAGAUCUGAACAUGCCUGGGUCUAAGUGAGGUGUGGGAAAAUAGUGGCAGGGGGCAGCAUGGUCGUGCAGUAAAGGGCUAUAACUUUAUUUGUAUUUCCUCUUACACAAAACCAUCAAAACAAGAACAGAAAAAGGCUGAAAAUCCGUUCAAACCCCAUGUUCUCAGGGAUAUUCCAGGGAGUUCUUGAGGCUGAGUGCGUAGCUUCAAAUCCAGCACUAAUUCCUCACCCCCUGGCCUGAGGUCUUCAUAGAUUGGUGGCUUGAGCCCUGCAAUUAAUUAUAAUCCCUUGCCCACCUUGAUGUAAGGCAGGAAAGCAGAUUGAAAUGCUCCUCUCUGAUGGGCAAGGGGAAUCACAGCCCAUAGAUGUACUGCACCUUCUGUACUACAGGAGCAGAACCUGAAGCUGCUUCCAAGGCUCUGGACACUUGGCACGCAGGGCUAGAGGCCAAUGGUAUAUGAGCGGCCUGUGGGGUUAUGAAUAGCAGAACAGACUGGUGCUGUCACAGCCCACUCAUACCACACCUUCUUGGAAUUGCUGCAUCGCCAGAAACGCACACAGAUGGUUUGGCCUUCACGUACCGUUAUGGGCUGCUGUAAGAAGAAAGACAGGAAGGUUCAGGGUGAAGCUAUGAAUUAUACAUGGCAAUGUAUUAAGAAGAAAAUAGCUGAUGCAAAUACAGAAAAAGAAGAGGACUAAAGAGUACCACUUCUUUCCAGAGAGAGUGGUUCUUUACCUCAGGGUCACGGUCCUUCUCCCUACAGGCUCGGACCUCAUUGUACAGCUUGGAGGAAGAGAUGGGAGCCAGAAAGGAAGUGUACUCCCCGGGGAUGCUCACACCAUCAUCUGCACAGCAGGAGAGUCAAAUUAGUUCCAGAGGGAGGGAAAUGGAGGUAAGAGAAGCCACACCCAUCCCAGGAUUCUCAUGGACUCACCCACUGCAAUCCUCUUACUAUAGUCACACAAAGUCCGGAAGUUGUGCCACCUGUUCAGUCAAAUACAGAAAAGUACAGUAAACUAGAUAUGGCCGACCAAUCACCACAGCUCAAGGAGACCUCCCUACAGGUUGCACCCUGUACUUCCCCUCACCCUAUCCCUUGCACCCUGGUACAGCAGCAAAGGGAGACAUACCACAUCCACGUUUUCUCCUCCCCACUGUACUCCUCUGUGUGUGUAGUUGGUGCAUUCUCAAUUAUAUCAUCUCUCAGGUCCUCUGGUGCCACCAAGGGUACCCGCAUCCAGAACUGCACAUGAA